rnacentral:misc_RNA from 1 species
AAGUCGUAACAAGGUUUCCGUAGGUGAACCUGCGGAAGGAUCAUUAACACUAACAUUUGUGCUGGUCGUCGUUCGGUGAUCACUCGCCGAUCGUACGUGCCUCACAUCUACUAUCCACCCGUGGUUCUGUUCUGUACCUUUGCCGCAAGGUGAAGGCUUAUCCACUCGAUCGCUGAGCUUUCCUUCUGGGAGACCAGUGGUAAAGGGCGCACGCGCUCUGACCCGUAUAGGUUGAGUGGCCUAUUUUUUAUCUACUGCAUAGAAUACCUGCACUGAUUUCAUAUGCACGCGAAAGUGUGCGUAUGUUAUUGACCUCGGUCAAUAAACCAUAUACAACUCGUAACAACGGAUAUCUCGGCUAAC